rnacentral:piRNA from 1 species
AAGCAUAUGUGUGAAUGCUUUCGGAUGC